UGCCUUCUGGGAAGUAGAUUUAAGGUUUGUUUUUCCGUUUCCUCACUUGGCGCUUGACGGCCUUGGGAUUAGACCGCUUUGCUGCCAACCUCGGUAUCUCAGCCUUCUGGCUUGCUGUGCCUAGGAAAAAUGAACCUGAUAAGAAAAGGGCAGGCCUUCUUGGUGACGUCCCAGUUCUUGGCCUUGUGAGCCUCUUCCUGGGGUUUCUCAUGAUGUGGCAGCUGGCUUCCCUCAGACUGUGUGACACAAGACAGAGCAUGACCAAGCUGGAAGCAGGGCGUCUUCUACAAUCUGACGGUGGAGGUGAUGUGCCAUCACUCUCCUGUAUUCUGUUGGUCAGCAUGGGAAGGACUCUACAGCAGUGUGAACACCAGGAGGCUGUCUGGGAACCAUCUUGGAGGAGCGACCACGUUAGAUUUGAUGAGCUUAAAGGACCUCCAAGCGUGGGGAAUAUUCAACAAACAGUUCAACACAUGGACAACAUAUAUAUUCUACAAAGCUGGACAAUAAAAACAAUCUAAUUCAAUGUUUGUUUUAGUAGCAAAAUAUAAGCAUUGUCAUAAAAUAUAUGAAGUAAUAUAGAAGUAACUUUAUAGCUAAUUUAUGCAUAAGGUCCUGAUAAUGUCUAAAAGUGGUAACAUCAAUUCAAAUAAUGGAAUUGUCAUAAUGGUUUGGUUAUAUGGAAAAAUUCUAUUAACAUUUUUUUUGGUCACCACUGAUGAUCUUGUAUUAGAUUUAUGUUUAACAGUGAUUAAGUGCCAUGAUGUGUUUCUAGCAGAAUAGAAUAAUGGCUCAGAUUGUCCCCCCGACCCCCGUGAUCUUAUAAUCUUGCCUUAUGCACAUGAAUUUUCUGCUUUAUUUCUUUAGUAUAAACUGCAGAAUAGUUUGCAUUAUUAUUGCUCAUAAAUUCUGCCCAGAUGAGAUUAGUUUUAUAGAUGUAGGAUCAAUAAUACUUGAACACAUUUGCAGCUGUGUACUGCCCAAUAUUGCUCAUUAAUGGCUUUAAAAGAAUCAGUGCAUUUUGCUAGAAGCAAAGAUAAUGAGCCAUUGAUUAUCCUUGCAUAGCACAAUUUACGGCCUAUUUUAUUUUUAAUGCAACGUUAAAUUAAUUUAUAAAAGAUCAGAAGCAUUGCUUUAUUUCCAAGCUCUGAUUAAACACUUAUUGAACUUUUCAUAGAGAGCAUUAAUCAAUUCUCAUCUUUUCUGAUCUCCCAGAGUGCUUUGGAAAUAAAGAUGAAUAGCUUGUGAUCACCUGCACUGCUUGUGAGCCAGCAAACCCAGAGAAAACAUCCUUAUGGGACCCAGCUCUAUGAGAUGGGAUAUGUCAGGAAGUGUCCUAGUCUGUGACAUUUUUUCUCAAGAUCAGAUUGUGGAUAUAUUCUGGAUCACUGAGCAGGGAUGGAAGUUUUACUAGAGUGUUAAGCGAAAGCACCUGGAAGAGUAUAAAGAUACAGAGUGUAAGGCAUACAUAAUCUAUACUGUUUUGCUUUGGAUGGGUGUGGCAUUUGUCUAUGGUCACCUACCCUUAUACUUCAGAGUAACUUUCUGAAUAAACCUCUAAGAUCACUUUUUAAAAAUUAACAUACUUUGUUAUCUUUAUAUACCCCUUCCUUAGCACUUCUUAGCAAUCUUCGUUAUUCGCCAGGGCUGGCUGAAUUGGAUACGAGUUGUUCAUAAGGACUAACAACAUUGUGGUCAAGUGCCGAGGCCACUAGAAUAGUCCUCAGAGUCACUGACUUCAGAAGCAAAGGACUGAUUGCUAUUAUCAGUAAUUGAUAGUAGAGCAUUUGGAAGAUAACAGGAAAAUGAGGUGAAUAGAGUCAAAGACGAUGAUAUAUGUAUGAAUUUUUAUGCCCUGGUCUUCAAUUAGAUGGUAGUGGAUCUCUGACAGGGAAGCUAAGACUCUUCUCUCUGGAGUGAACAGAAGGUAGGGCUUCUUUCAUCUCAGUGAGAGGAACAAGUUUAGAGGGACCAAGAAUAGCAGGGGACUUAUCUAUUCUGUGAAGGGCAAGUUCAAGAAUGGUUGGGGUGAAAAACCUACCUUUUAGGGGUUGGAAGGUCCAAACAGAGCUUAGUCCAAAAGGUAGUGUGAGUCAGGCAUACAUUUGCAGUUAGGGGGCAUAGAAAGAGGCAGUGGGGGUCCACACUGCUGGGCAAAGUUCAGGAACUGAGGAUCCAAAGAUAAGUCACUCUCAGAAGCCCAAGAGGACAGUUAGGUGUGGAUCGGAAUCCUUAGAUCACCAUUUCUCCCUGUCUCUAUGUAAUAGCAGUCCUGCUUAAAGUUAAAAUGGAUGUGGUGGUGACGGUCACUCCACAUCAGGUAAUUUCUACACCUGCUUCUGGAGGUCUGACUUGUUGAGCUAGAUAACAGGGAUGUAGGGGGAAUGAAGGGCCUAGAGGUGAGCCCUGGUUUGUGAGAUGUCUUCAAAUGAUGCUAAAGAGCAUGGAUGCAAGCUUGCUGUGUCUGGACCUGUAAAGAGGUGGGUUGGCAGUGCUCUGGAGAUGCUGUUUGAUGGUUGAUGGAAGGCUCACCUCCAAAAUGGCUAUGGAUUGACCUGCUGUCUUGUUUGGUAUUUUCAGACCUGUUUUCUUUUCUUCCCCUCCCUAAGGGGUAUUUAAUGCUUAUAUGAUUGCCUGUGAUAGAUAGCUUGCUUGAGUAAAAGUUCUUGAUCUUGCUGUUGACAUGCUUGAGUUUAUCAGGGCCCAAGGCACAGAGAGGCGGGACACAAAACAGAUCUACUUUUUGUAGAGUUGGCAUGAAAAAGACAAGGAUCAGGGAUUCUGAUACCUACAGAUUGCAGGGCUGGAUUAGGGGCCAUGACGGGGCUGACAGCUGGGGAACUGAAAGGUUGUUGGUACUUUGGGAAGUGGGAAACAUUCAAAUCAAGGAAAGCAGGAAUUCAGCAAAAGCCAAAGGCACCUGCCUCAGAAUAUUGUCCAAGACCAACCAGUUCUGUACAGCAAUAAUUCAUGAGGUUAAGCAAGUUUUAUUAAUAAAGAUGAAUCAUUGUGUGUGUGUGGGGAGAUGUUAAGGUACAUGGCAAAUGCAUAAAUGAUAUUAGACUGAAAUCUACAAAUGGCAGGGCAUAAUGAACAGAGAGAGAUGACCUACGGGGAAGAUGAGGACUCUUGGGGUAGGGACACUGAAUCAUAAACCUGUAGCGUCUGAAAGAAAGGAAACACAUAAUUACAUAAUUAGACACUAAAAGGGAAAUGAGUGGGAAAGUUAACAGGAUUCAUAUGUUAAAAGGAUAUAAUGGUGCUCAUAGUAGUCUCAAAGUGUCAGAAGCCUGCUCCACCUAUGCCUCAGCUGUCCACAUUGCCUGUGGUCAAAUGACAGAGCUGUCUUAAGGAAGACUCAUUUCUGCAACCACAUGGCCUUUCUAAAAAUAGAAUUCAUUUCUUUCUACCAUGUGACAUUCAUCUAAGCAUUUCUGUGGGCUGUAAAGGAUUCAUAAAAUUCUUGAUUCUGGCAUAUUUUUAGCUUCAUUUGGAAUCAGAUUAUUGUUUGAACUACUGCGGAGCUUUGCAUAGGAUUUUGAUUUAUUUGUCUUCUACCUUAACUGAAAUAAACUUUGUAUUAGACUUUUGCUCAAGGUAGCUGAAUUAAUUCUGCUUUAAUUCAAGUUCAUCUCCACAGUGGAAAAUGACAGGCAUUAUUGAGUUCUGUUACACAUUUAAUAAGGAAUGUAUACUUCUCAUCCUUGUGGGAGCAAUUUAAUACACUGCUGAGCCUGUCAAAAUUCAAUUCAAGGUUGAAUGACUAAUGCAUAAAAGUCAAUUCUGUAUCCUAUCAGAGAUAAAGCCAGUUAUUUCUUUUUAUCAAGUAGAUAGGGGUGCUA